CACCGUGAGGUGGAAUCUGAAGGAAGUCCACGGCAAAGCCUCGGUCUGACGAACAGAAACUGCAUACAAGGCAUACUUGAAACGGACGAGUUUCCUACACAAAGCAAAGUCCAAUACUGCCCGAAUUUCAAGGUGUAAAUGCAGCAGAUAUAUGAGGUGAAGGUG
rnacentral:ncRNA from 1 species